rnacentral:tRNA from 1 species
GGGGAUGUAGCUCAGUGGUAGAGUGCUUGCCUAGCAUGCACAAGGCCCUGGGUUCAAUUCCCAUUACCA